AAUUUUUAUAAUACUGAAUUUCAGUUAAAAUGUAUCUUUUAGGAAUCUUGUUAAGGUUUCACUGUAGAUUCCUUUUAGUUCCAUGCAGUCUCCUCAUUUUUACA